GUACCGGGGCUAAACAUAUUACCGAAGCUGUGGAGUACACCUUUAGGUGUAUUGGUAGGAGAGCGUUCUAAGGGCGUUGAAGGCAGAUCGUGAGGACUGCUGGAGCGCUUAGAAGUGAGAAUGCCGGUAUGAGUAGCGAAAGACAGGUGAGAAUCCUGUCCACCGAAUGACUAAGGUUUCCUGGGGAAGGCUCGUCCGCCCAGGGUUAGUCGGGACCUAAGCCGAGGCCGACAGGCGUAGGCGAUGGAUAACAGGUUGAUAUUCCUGUACCCGUUGUUUUUGUUUGAGCAAUGGAGGGACGCAGGAGGCUAAGGAAUGCAGACGAUCGGAAAUGUCUGUCCAAGCAGUAAGUCUGAAGAGGAGUCAAAUGCUUCUUUUCUUAAGGACAAGCUGUGAUGGGGAGGGAAAUAAUAGUACCGAAGUUCCUGAUGUCACACUGCCGAGAAAAGCUUCUAGUGAGAAAACAGCGGCCCGUACCGCAAACCGACACAGGUAGUCGAGGAGAGAAUCCUAAGGUGAGCGAGAGAACUCUCGUUAAGGAACUCGGCAAAAUGACCCCGUAACUUCGGGAGAAGGGGUGCUGAUCAUACGAUCAGCCGCAGUGAAUAGGCCCAAGCGA
rnacentral:rRNA from 1 species